AGGUAGAGGAAUUUUAGUCGGUAGGUCCGAGGACUUCUUCCUCGGGAAUCCGACACUACCCAGUCGUACGGACUGGGUGUCUUUUGAAGAUUUCCCCUCUUCC
rfam:Agrilus planipennis Contig21644, whole genome shotgun sequence.